CCUCCCUGGUAAUGGGCAAAGAGAUACCUUGUUGGUGGUGUUGUUCUUAUAUCAGUCAGGGACAAAGCAGAUGUCAGUCCUGUCUUCAUCCUAACUUUAUGUCUGGCUUAGUGACCAAAACUGUUUUUUGCCUAGGAUACGUAA